CAUACGUCUACUAGACAUGUGGGACUUCAUAAUAAAUUUCAAAGUUACCCCUCUAUAUUUAUAAUAGUCUAAAUCAAAUUGAAUUCACUAUCUUUGAACUUUUGUGUCGAAGAGAGCUUCGGCCAUGGAGUUUUUAAGAUUUAUGGUCAAGAAAAUGGUAAGCAUGGUCAGCUGAGUAUCCAUUUUAUGGAACAAGGAAGAAUUCUUUGAUUCUGCGGGGUGGAGAGAAUUUGUGGGCAGUAACAAGCUUAUCACGAGAGUUGUAGCUGCCUAUUUAGAGAUUACUUUUUCAUCAUGAUCUAAAACUUAUGAGUAAAUCAACCAUUCUAAAUGCUAGCUAGCACCAUUCGUGGCUAAGAUGUGUUGUUAAGGCGACAUCGUACCAACAACAAAUUGACGAUCAGACUUCUUCAUUUCUACAGAAAAAUAAGAACAAAAGAAACAUUGAUUACAAUCCAAAAAAUUGUCUCUUUCUGGGUUUUAAUCAAUCAAAAAAAAAGGUUUUAAUGAUGAUGUGUAUUGUUAAAUGAAAUAAAGGGAGGUUUUGAAA